rnacentral:misc_RNA from 1 species
CAAUGAUGUUGAACCGAUUCCUGCUAUUUCAAACACAUCCACAGAUGUCAUAUCCCCUAUGUUAUCUGGAAUUUCUUCAAGAUUUGAGCAGCCACUCAAUAUAAAAACUUUAAGAGACUUCAAAUUACACAGGCUACUUGGAAGAGCUGUAAGGCUUUUGCAAUUCUUCAUGUUCAGUAAAACAAGCCUUUCUAGAAGUCCAAUAGAAUGGUGUACUUCAAGUAAUCCUGUACAACAUUCAAGU